GAUGAAGAACGCAGCGAAAUGCGAUACUUGGUGUGAAUUGCAGAAUCCCGUGAACCAUCGAGUCUUUGAACGCAAGUUGCGCCCGAAGCCAUCAGGUUGAGGGCACGUCUGCCUGGGCGUCACAUAUCGUUGCCCAAUGCCUAUUGCAGUGCAAUAGGAAUUUCUAGGGCGAAUGAUGGCUUCCCGUGAGCGUUGUUGCCUCGCGGUUGGUUGAAAAUCGAGUCCUUGGUAGGGUGUGCCAUGGUAGAUGGUGGUCGAGUUAGAACGAUACCGAUCAUGUGCAUGCUCCCCAAAAAUAUGGCCUCUAUGACCCACACGCGUCUUUUGACGCUCAUGACGAGACCUCAGGUCAGGCGGGGCUACCCGCUGAAUUUAAGCAUAUCAAUAAGCGGAGGA
rnacentral:misc_RNA from 1 species